rnacentral:rRNA from 1 species
CCUACGGGAGGCAGCAGUGGGGAAUAUUGGUCAAUGGGCGCAAGCCUGACCCAGCAACGCCGCGUGAAGGAAGAAGGCUUUCGGGUUGUAAACUUCUUUUCUCAGGGACGCAGAAAGUGACGGUACCUGAGGAAUAAGCCACGUCUAACUACGGGCCAGCAGCCGCGGUAAUACAUAGGUCGCAAGCGUUAUCCGGAUUUAUUGGGUGUAAAGGGCGUGUGGGCGGGAGUGCAAGGCAGAUGGGAAAACUCAGGGCUCAACCCUGGGCGUGCAUUUGAAACUGUGUUUCUUGAGUGCUGGAGAGGCAAUCGGAAUUCGGGGUGUAGCGGUGAAAUGCGUAGAUAUAAGGAGGAACACCAGUGGCGAAGGCGGAUUGCUGGACAGUAACUGACGCUGAGGCGCGAAAGCGUGGGGAGCAAACAGGAUUAGAUACCCCGGUAGUC